AAGGGAAGCCAUAUGGUUUGCUGUUCAAGUCUGAUGCAUUCGUGAAGUAACAGAUGUGGAAUCAAGCACACCUGGAAUUCAGCAGCAGAAGCCCUGACAGAUCAAUCUGCAAAAAAACUGAACAAGGACCUGAUUUAUAGCCUCCAUUUGAAUUGAACGUUAUACCAUGCAAAGAAUUUUGAAGAGAGUAAAACAAAUGGAAGUCUGAUGGUGCAAGAUCAGGUAAACUAAACUGUCGUAUUGAAUUUCGAAACAUGUGCACUUGAAAUUGGAAGUCCACCGUCAGUAAGGAGAACCUGCUCUAGCCACAUCUUGCCUCCUCGCCUGUGAUGUGAUACGACUAAUCUCAGCUGAACUACUUGAGAUGCUUGUUACUGCUGCAAUCUCAAUGAAUUUAGAGUGGUAAUCAAUUAACAGUAAAUAGGUUUCUUUGUCAAUUUGGAAGC